rnacentral:rRNA from 1 species
GUGGGGAAUCUUGCGCAAUGGGCGAAAGCCUGACGCAGCCAUGCCGCGUGGAUGAUGAAGGUCUUAGGAUUGUAAAAUCCUUUCACCGGUGAAGAUAAUGACUGUAGCCGGAGAAGAAGCCCCGGCUAACUUCGUGCCAGCAGCCGCGGUAAUACGAAGGGGGCUAGCGUUGCUCGGAUUUACUGGGCGUAAAGGGCGCGUAGGCGGACAUUUAAGUCAGGGGUGAAAUCCCGGGGCUCAACCUCGGAACUGCCUUUGAUACUGUGUGUCUUGAGUAUGAGAGAGGUGUGUGGAACUCCGAGUGUAGAGGUGAAAUUCGUAGAUAUUCGGAAGAACACCAGUGGCGAAGGCGACACACUGGCUCAUUACUGACGCUGAGGCGCGAAAGCGUGGGGAGCAAACAGGAUUAGAAACCCGAGUAGUCC